UUCAUUUUAUUUUCCUUAUUUUCUUUCCAUUUCCUUUCUUUUCUUGCUUCUUUCUUCUCCUAACUUCUUGAGCACCAAAACCCACAACUUUUAACCCUAAUUUUCAGCACAACCAAACCUUAGGAGAGAGAAAGAAAAAUCUCUCUUUCUUCCUUCAUUUUUAAAGCCAAAAGGUUUUAAUGGUAUUUCGAGACUACCUGGAUUAAGAUCUUGUGGGUGCUAGUCUUGUUAGGUGGCAUUGUCAAGAUUCAGAGGUAGUUGGGACCUAGAUUGAAGUGUCCAUUUGUAUUCGCCAUUUGGUAGGUACCAUGGCAUCCAGUAACAAUACCCACACCCAAAGUCACUCCAUUGAUAGUCAAGGUCUUUUGCAUAUGUAUAUAGUUGCUUAAAUGUAAAUUGUGAGAUUGUUGUGCACUCUGUAUGUUGGUUUGAUUAACCACGUCAUUGAGGGUUGACCAACGAUAACCCUAUUUUG